UGAANUUAAAGGCUGUGGCUUAACCAUAGUACGCUUUGGAAACUGUUUAACUUGAGUGCAGAAGGGGAGAGUGGAAUUCCAUGUGUAGCGGUGAAAUGCGUAGAUAUAUGGAGGAACACCGGUGGCGAAAGCGGCUCUCCGGUCUGUAACUGACGCUGAGGCUCGAAAGCGUGGGGAGCGAACAGGAUUAGAUACCCUGGUAGUCCACGCCGUAAACGAUGAGUGCUAGGUGUUAGGCCCUUUCCGGGGCUUAGUGCCGCAGCUAACGCAUUAAGCACUCCGCCUGGGGAGUACGACCGCAAGGUUGAAACUCAAAGGAAUUGACGGGGGCCCGCACAAGCGGUGGAGCAUGUGGUUUAAUUCGAAGCAACGCGAAGAACCUUACCAGGUCUUGACAUCCCGAUGCCCGCUCUAGAGAUAGAGUUUUACUUCGGUACAUCGGUGACAGGUGGUGCAUGGUUGUCGUCAGCUCGUGUCGUGAGAUGUUGGGUUAAGUCCCGCAACGAGCGCAACCCUUAUUGUUAGUUGCCAUCAUUCAGUUGGGCACUCUAGCGAGACUGCCGGUAAUAAACCGGAGGAAGGUGGGGAUGACGUCAAAUCAUCAUGCCCCUUAUGACCUGGGCUACACACGUGCUACAAUGGCUGGUACAACGAGUCGCAAGUCGGUGACGGCAAGCUAAUCUCUUAAAGCCAGUCUCAGUUCGGAUUGUAGGCUGCAACUCGCCUACAUGAAGUCGGAAUCGCUAGUAAUCGCGGAUCAGCACGCCGCGGUGAAUACGUUCCCGGGCCUUGUACACACCGCCCGUCACACCACGAGAGUUUGUAACACCCGAAGUCGGUGAGGUAACCUUUUAGGAG
rnacentral:rRNA from 1 species